AUUGAACGCUGGCGGCAGGCCUAACACAUGCAAGUCGAGCGGAUGAAGGGAGCUUGCUCCUGGAUUCAGCGGCGGACGGGUGAGUAAUGCCUAGGAAUCUGCCUGGUAUUGGGGGAUAACGUCCGGAAACGGGCGCUAAUAUCGCAUACGUCCUGAGGGAGAAAGUGGGGGAUCUUCGGACCUCACGCUAUCAGAUGAGCCUAGGUCGGAUUAGCUAGUUGGUGGGGUAAAGGCCUACCAAGGCGACGAUCCGUAACUGGUCUGAGAGGAUGAUCAGUCACACUGGAACUGAGACACGGUCCAGACUCCUACGGGAGGCAGCAGUGGGGAAUAUUGGACAAUGGGCGAAAGCCUGAUCCAGCCAUGCCGCGUGUGUGAAGAAGGUCUUCGGAUUGUAAAGCACUUUAAGUUGGGAGGAAGGACAGUAAGUUAAUACCUUGCUGUUUUGACGGUACCAACAGAAUAAGCACCGGCUAACUUCGUG
rnacentral:rRNA from 1 species